rnacentral:lncRNA from 1 species
UACAAAAAUGCUAAGAACAAUCAAGAGCAAUUCCAACAUCAUCAUAUUUUCUAUUUAUCUGCAUAUACCACACAGAGAACUAUUUAAGAGAGGGAGUGCGUCAAUUCGUGCAUGAGACAGAGCAAUUAAGAGGGAGAGAGAUAGAAAAAAAAACCUGAUCAAGCUAGGGACAGAAAUCCGUUGUCACUGAUCAAUUUUGGAGCUGUGCCGAGACUUCCUACUCAGCGCGAACCUGAACCCUGAUAUCUCGAGCUCCGGAAGGGUGUGAUCCGCGACGAACGCGUCGGAUUGAUAAGCGAGUGAGCGUCCGAAAGAGGGAUAGAGGGGUCAGAAUCCAACACCCAAACGGAUGCCAACAGAAAUCGAAAACCCUAACAAAUCGUGGAGGAUGGAAAAAGAGCUCACCGCUCGAGCAAAAAAUCCAGCGAGAAGAAAUCGGUCAAGAGUCGCUGUAGUUACUGCUAAUACGCUUCAGAUCUGAACCUCCUCCGAUCAAGUUUUCAGAGAGCAAGCGUCGCCGGUCUUCAAUUUCAGAUCCUUGCUAACGCGAGAAAGAAAAAACCUUAGCCUUCGACUUGAACUCAACGGAGAAGUAUUGGAGACGGAUGCGGAAACUCCCUCCGAUGGACCGCGAGCGAAGUCGAGACUUGGGAUCCGAGAUCUGAGUCCUAGCGGCCGCGUCUUUGAAAUGAGCUUCGAGCGCUCAGUCGGCCGAGAGAAGACGAGGUCCGCGAGAGGAAGAUCGCCAGUCCACGAGCUCAAGAGAUGGUAUGAAGAUGAUCCGAGGAGAAACGCAAGAAAGAUGCCGCCAUUGACGUCGUGGGAGGGCUAGGGUUCCGCUGCAACUGCCUCGAACUCCAUUGAUGACCCCGCAAAAAAAAAAAAAAUACGAACGCCCAGAGAGAG